AGGAAAGCCCUGAAGGAGAUCUCCCUGAAGUUCUUAUGGAGAGCAGACUCUCCUUCCAAACAAUAACCUCCUGGGCCGGGGAUUUAGCUCAGUGGUUCUGCUGCCUGCCUUGCAAGCACAAGGACCUGAGUUCAAUCCCCGGUACCAAAAAAAAAAAAAAGAAAAAGAAAAGAAAAAAAUUAAAAUAACCUCCUGCUCACCCACUUCCAUGUCCUCCGUGCCAGAAGUCCCUUCAGGCAAGGUACUAGUGAGCUCUCUUCAUAAUAUACUGUACUUUGUUUCAUGUUUUUGUGGUUAAAAAAUACAUAUGGUUCAGAACAAAUUAACCUUAUUUACAGUGAAUCUUAUGGGAAAAUUUGACUCAGUUCAUGUCCAAUUAAUUUGCAACCAGAAUUGUGGAAUGAAUUGUUUGUGAAUCGAGGUACCACUGUAAUAUUGACAAAAACACUUGGUGAAUGUGUAUGAAAAUGGAUUUUGAAGGUUCUAGGUCAAGUAAAGAAAAAUAAAUUUCAGAUGGGUUGAACUUAUUGCUAUGGGAGCAUCUAACCCAGAGGUUCGGGGUUCAAUAUACUAGCAUGAACAGAUGAUAUUGAUUCUAAUUGUUUCUUUAAUCUUAUGACCAAAACUUAGGCCAUAGCCCCAGUGAGAUAUUGUGAAUUCCUUUACAUAC
rnacentral:lncRNA from 1 species